rnacentral:rRNA from 1 species
AUUGAACGCUGGCGGCAGGCCUAACACAUGCAAGUCGAGCGAGCGGCGGACGGGUGAGUAAUGUAUGGGGACUGCCCGAUAGCGGGGGAUAACUACGGGAAACGGUAGCUAAUACGGCAUACUAUGCGCUACCCCAUAUGGGAUUAGCUGGUAGGUGAGGUAAUGGCUCACCUAGGCGACGAUCCCUAGCUGGUCUGAGAGGAUGAUCAGCCACACUGGGACUGAGACACGGCCCAGACUCCUACGGAGGCAGCAGUGGGGAAUAUUGCACAAUGGGCGCAAGCCUGAUACAGCCAUGCCGCGUGUAUGAAGAAGGCCCUAGGGUUGUAAAGUACUUUCAGUCGGGAGGCGUUACCGACAGAAGAAGCACCGGCUAACUCCGUGCCAGCAGCCGCGGUAAUUC